UAUUAUCUUAGUUACAUGAUUUUCUUUCCUUUUAUUUACAUUACAGAAAGUUCUCUAUUGUAGUUGCUCUUUUUAUGAGUCAAAUUGUCUUUAUUAAUUUAAAGGUAUUGGAAUUAUCAAUAUUGUUAUUUUAAUUAUGACUAAUAUGGUUUUUUAAUUUUUAUGGCACGUGUUUUUUGGUUUUUGUAAGGCAAUAUAUCUAGUUUUGUAAAUGGUUUGUUUUUAUUGAUUUUGUAAGGCCAAUGUGGCUAGUUUUUUUGUAUGGCCAAUGUGGCUAGUUUUCUUUGUACGGCCAAUGUGGUUAGUUUUGGUUUUGUAAGGCCAGUAUGGCUAUUUUAGUUUUGUAAGGCUAGUAUGGCUAGUUUUUGGUUUUGUAAGGCCAGUAUGGCUAGUUUUAAUUUUGUAAGUGUAAUCACCGUCAGGAAUGGAGAUGAAAAUAGAUAAGUAUCUACGUCAGAGAAUUCUAUGUGACUAUUUAUAUAAAAUUUCAUAUUUUAUUUUAUUUUAUUUAUAAGGGAAAUUUCAUUUUUUUAUUAAAUAUUUAUUAUGUAUUAAUUAAUUUCUCUUUAU